GAUGUUUAGGGGUUCAUAUGGUUCUGUUUGGGGCUUGUGAUCAUUGGUUGGAGUUUAUUUGGGGUUCUCACAUAUUUUGGAGGCUUUAAGAAGUGUUUGAAGGGGUAUGAAGCCAUUGUGAGCAAGUUUUGAGUGCAAGCUUGUUCUACUUGAGUUUUCAGGGGGUUUAUGGUUGAUUUUGGAUCAUUGGAGUAUGGAUUGUUGGGUGGUCAUUUGAAAGACCCUACUUCUGACUUGGAGUGAUCUUGAUUCAAUUCAUCUCAUGCCUUUGUUUGUUUAUGCUUUGUUGU
rnacentral:lncRNA from 1 species